UACGAAGGGGGCUAGCGUUGCUCGGAAUCACUGGGCGUAAAGCGCACGUAGGCGGCUCUUUAAGUCAGGGGUGAAAUCCUGGAGCUCAACUCCAGAACUGCCUUUGAUACUGAAGAUCUUGAGUUCGGGAGAGGUGAGUGGAACUGCGAGUGUAGAGGUGAAAUUCGUAGAUAUUCGCAAGAACACCAGUGGCGAAGGCGGCUCACUGGCCCGAUACUGACGCUGAGGCACGAAAGCGUGGGGAGCAAACAGG
rnacentral:rRNA from 1 species